rnacentral:lncRNA from 1 species
GGCUAGAAUAAGUGAUUAUAUAAACAAAUGUCUUGGAAGGAGGUCUGGUAUUUCGCAGGGUGGGUCUUAUCUGUAUAUAGGGGCAUAUACUGAGUGAUAUUACAUAUUAUUACCAAGGAGUGUAGACUUGUACUACCAUUACAUAACAAUAUAAAGGAAUUGGUGUGCACCUAAACUUGGACUACAAUUUAAAAAGGAUACAUCAUUCUGGAUAAUCACCAUUCGUUCAUCAUUUUUUUCCUGGGCCUUGAUAACUGCAUAAAUAAGCUUCACCUGAGGAAUGGAAAAACUGUUGUCCAAGGAGACUGGGUGGCUGUGUUUUAUUCAGGCAGCAGAUUUCCCCCAUUGGACAAGUUUCGCACCUGGACAAUGUAAAUGGUAUUGCCUCUUUCCGAUUUCUGAAAGGGCGGAUCAGGCUUUCCAAGACAGAUGUUCAGGACGUGGAGGAUCAGUUUAUCAUUUGCACCCUUCGUGUACAGUACGUGCAUGAAAAGGAUGAAUUUUUUACACACCCUCUUAUAAAGGACAAAGUAGAAAUUGCUAAACAAAUGUAUAGUGAAUUUCAUAUGUGACUCCCUUUCCUCAAACCCACAUAAAGUGGCCAGAUAUAUGUGCUAUGAGCCAAAAUGUGUGAAUUGUAGUAGGCUUGUUGCAUUUUGAGGUACGAUGAUUACUAAGGACACAUAUUCCUUGGAUCAAAA